AGUGGGGGGAGGUGGGCUGGGCUGUGCCAGGAGGGGACGGGCAGCGGGGCCUGAGCCAGCAGGGUAAGUGCAGGCAGGGAUGGAGCCCACGCUGGGGCAGGGGCUGGGCAUGCUGGGGAUGGCGGCAGGACCAUUGUGUCCCCCCAGGGCUGGGCUCUCAGGAGGCUGAACCGAGGUCCUGUGCUUUUGGUGCAGGGGUGCCAAGAGCAGGCGGGUCCUUGAGGAAAGAUACUCGCUGCCCCUUCGCAUCAGCCCUUUGCAGGACAUCUUGUAUCUAUUCAGAUGGCUGCCAUGAAACAAGAGGCUGGCUCCAAUGUGCCAUUAGGGUGGAGAGACUUCCUUGUUACUCACUCCUACCAUGUAGCAUUGAUGUAUGAUGCUAAAGCUGUUUCCCUGGAACACAUGGGAACCAGACUUGAGCAAGGAAGGUCAAAGUGAAGUGAAAGCAACAGUGCUCGUCUCGAGCUUUGUUCACAGUUCUGCAACAGGAGAAUAAAGCACUGUGGAGAAAGUGGCGGCUGGCUCUGUCCCAGUUCCUCAGGUCAUGCUACUUGGAAUCCCUCUUCCAGGGAAGGCUAACCAUGAAGUAGACACAAAUCCUCUUCUAGAAAUGAAAUCAGGUCUGAAUAAGAGCUUUGAAUCCAGAUGGCACCAUGUCUUGAAUGCAGACACCUCCUGCCAGUGAAUACACCCUCUUGCAUUGGAUGUGAGUCACCAAUAGCUCCACAGCUGCAGCCCCAAACCAACAUCUGUGUAAAGGUAAUUGAGAAUAAAUCUAACAAAACAGCAAUUUACCUCCUGGCAUGCAUUUUUCUAACAGAUGACUUCAUGAAAAAUAGUUUGAUCCAGAUUGGAUUUCUCUAAUUACAUGAUGACAGCUUUAAGGGUUAGUAGGAUUCAAACCACCUUGUAUAGAAAUACGCAUUAAAGGUAAACCACAUAAGCUCAGGAAGGCAUCUUGAAGAGCACAGGAGGUAGCAGUGUGAAAGACAGGAACACGUGCACUUGUGUUCAGUAGGAAGAUAUUCUCUGAUUCUAUCAUUUAUGGCCUUAGUAUUACUGAGCAUUUGAAGUUUGUUAAAUAUGUGCUCAUUACUCUGCUUCCCUCAUUUGAUUGUAAGUGCUUAGCACAGAUGGGCUGGCAGGACUGGGGCAGUGGGGAGAUGCCCAAAAUGCUCAAGCACAGUAUUAGUCAGUGAUCCAAAAGUGCUGGUGGGCUUAACUAGACAAAAUCUACCCUAUAGAAUACUCCCUCCCCAAGGGUAUGGGGACCCAGGUAGGGGCCAUCCUCAACCCCUCCAGUCAGGGGAAAGGGUGUGAGAAAGAGCCAACUGAUGCUGCAUGGCCACAAUUGGUAGAUUAUAGACACUGCCCCACAUUGGAUGUUUUCUGGCAGUCCUGAUGCAGGUGCAAAGGCAGACUUGAACUAUUUGGUGGCCACCAUCAAAACAGCAGACUCAUUAUUCUCAGCUCUGGUGGAAUCUCGCUUGUUAAUAGUGACUGUGCUGGGGCACCCUCAGGGGGAUAAGAAUCAUUUUCCUUGCAGAUACUGGACUUUCUGUUUUGUGUGAGUGCAGUGACUAAGCAAACUGACACUAGUCUAUACAAACAUCUGGAGGUAUUGAUGCUGGAUCUCCUGAGGGAACUGGACCAUACUUUAAAAUGAAUUGUCACCAAGAUCCAUGGAUUUGUGAUGAGCAGGCACUAUGGCCUAACUAAAACCUGAAGCCCACACCACAGACCUGAAGGAUCUCUUCUAUCUGCAGGGCUGAAUAACCAGAGCACUUUGGAAGAUCAAGUCCUCUUCUUAUUAGUGUUGUUGAUAGUUUUGAGAUAUUAAGUGAAAUGCAUUCUUUCUCUGUUUAAAAGGGCAAAGUAAUUUGUCAGGUGUGUGGCACAGGAAAUCUUCACCGUAAACACCGUGUGACUUGUGAAAGCAAGCUGCCUGCAAUACAGAUGCUGAGGCUUCCUCCAUCCAAUCACACUAGGGUUAAUCAAAUCAAAGCACAACAUUCUUUUUCUUUGGAAAACUGAAGUCAUAGCCCUGUGUCCCUAUGUUACAAAAGCAGAGAUUCCCUCCCUCAUGGGAUAUUCAAGCCCAGGACUCCCACAGAUCCUCCAUCACAAGUGUCCAGCUAAAGAGAAGCGUACCUUUGAGUUCCUCCUGUGGAAGUCAGGAUUGUGUGUGCCAUUGUGAAAGCUCAGAAGGCUCUUAGAAGAUGGGGAGUCUUGGCUCCAAGGGAGUUUUGUUUGUGUUCAGAUUCUUUUCAAGUGCAGUAGCAAACUUGAGUGUCUACAUCAGGAAGAGAAUUUUUGUUGUUUUCCAUUAUUUUGUGAAAAUAAAAUAUUCUUUUCCAUUA